UACGUAGGGUGCGAGCGUUGUCCGGAAUUACUGGGCGUAAAGAGCUCGUAGGUGGUUUGUCGCGUUGUUCGUGAAAACUCACAGCUUAACUGUGGGCGUGCGGGCGAUACGGGCAGACUAGAGUACUGCAGGGGAGACUGGAAUUCCUGGUGUAGCGGUGAAAUGCGCAGAUAUCAGGAGGAACACCGGUGGCGAAGGCGGGUCUCUGGGCCGAUACUGACGCUGAGGAGCGAAAGCGUGGGGAGCGAACAGG
rnacentral:rRNA from 1 species